AUUGAACGCUGGCGGCAGGCCUAACACAUGCAAGUCGAGCGAGCGGCGGACGGGUGAGUAAUGUAUGGGGCUCUGCCCGAUAGAGGGGGAUAACUACUGGAAACGGUGGCUAAUACCGCAUACUAUCGGAUGAACCCAUAUGGGAUUAGCUCGUAGGUGGGGUAAAGGCUCACCAAGCCGACGAUCUCUAGCUGGUCUGAGAGGAUGACCAGCCACACUGGGACUGAGAAACGGCCCAGACUCCUACGGGAGGCAGCAGUGGGGAAUAUUGCGAAAUGGGGGCAACCCUGACGCAGCAAUGCCGCGGGAGUGAAGAAGGCCUUCGGGUUGUAAAGUUCUUUCGGUAGCGAGGCGUUAACUACAGAAGAAGCACCGGCUAACUCCGUGCCAGCAGCCGCGGUAAUUC
rnacentral:rRNA from 1 species